AUCACUUCUUGGCCUUUUGGCUAAGAUCAAGUGUAGUAUCUGUUCUUAUCAGUUUAAUAUCUGAUAUGAUAUGAUACGUCCGCACUCUCCCUGAUUUGAUUGUUAAAUAUUGAGAGUCCUGAACCAAGUGAGACACAAACGCUUGCAAAUCCUGUUUCAGGGCCGCAGCAGGCACUUGGCAUCUGCAUCUUAA